GAUGAACGCUGGCGGCGUGCCUAAUACAUGCCAGUCGAGCGAACGGACGAGAAGCUUGCUUCUCUGAUGUUAGCGGCGGACGGGUGAGUAACACGUGGAUAACCUACCUAUAAGACUGGGAUAACUUCGGGAAACCGGAGCUAAUACCGGAUAAUAUUUUGAACCGCAUGGUUCAAACGUGAAAGACGGUCUUGCUGUCACUUAUAGAUGGAUCCGCGCUGCAUUAGCUAGUUGGUAAGGUAACGGCUUACCAAGGCAACGAUGCAUAGCCGACCUGAGAGGAUGAUCGGCCGCACUGGAGCGGGGACGCGGUGCAGCCCCGGACGGGAGGCACCAGCAGGGAAUCUACGGGAGUGAGCGGAAGCCUGAAGUAGCAACGGCGCGUGAGUGAUGAAGAGCUACGGAUCGUAAAACUCUGUUAUUAGGGAAGAAUAUAGGUGUAAGUAACGGUGCACAUCUUGACGGUACCUAAGCAGAAAGCCACGGCUAACUACGU
rnacentral:rRNA from 1 species